rnacentral:tRNA from 1 species
GGCGCGGCUGGGCGGUGAGCAGCCGGUGCUGGAGUUGCCGGCCGACCGCUCGCGUCCGGUGGUGCAGAGCCACCGUGGCGCCA